UCGAGGAAGGAUCUCUGGGCGUUACUUAAUAAAUCUGCUGCAACAAUAUGACUACAUAUGUGUUAGUGAUGUGUACUCUUCUAAUGCUGCAAGACACUGAUGAUGCUAAUCUUUGAUAGUACUAGAUCUUCUCUCUAUUCUUGCAUUUUUGUAGCCAGUUCAAAGAUAUAGCCACAUUCCUUUGAUACUGAUGCAUACUUAGCAUAGUUCUGAUGUCUACUCAUCGUUGCUUUGCUCUUCCUUUUUCUCUUGAUAUGAUUGUUGCGACCAGAUGAUGGAGCCCAGGAGAUGGCUGAUCUCACCAACAACUACUACCCCCAAUGGAGCCUACUACUACGUGGAGGACGCUGACGACCAUGAGUAGACCUUGAGUAGUUAGGAGGUAUCCAGACAGGAGGCGUCGCCUCUUUGAUCCAUGUUAUGUUUGUGCUAGCCUUCUUAAGGCAAAACUUGUUUUCUAUGUCUGUACUCAGAUAUUAUUUGCUUCUGCCGACUCAUUUGUAUCCGAGCCCUCGAGGCCCGUGUCUUGUAAUAUGACGCUUCUAUGACUUUAAUUUGUGUCUAGAGUUGUG
rnacentral:lncRNA from 1 species